rnacentral:rRNA from 1 species
AUGUCUGGCAUGGUUGAUGUACCCGAACAUCUCAUGCCAACAAUUACUCUUGGACGUUUGCUUCACCAUUUCCUUUUUCUGCUUGAGUCCCAAGUGGUGGUUUUGGUUGUGCAUUCGGGUCAGGCAGUGGUUGUGGAUUCGGGUCUGGUAAUGGUUGUGGGUUUGGAUCAGGUUGCGGUCCUGGUAAUGGCUGAGGGUUUGGGUUUGGCUGUGGGUCCGGCAAUGGCUUCGGGUUUGGGUCUGGUAAUGGUUGCGGGUUUGGAUGAGGUUGUGGUCCUGGUAAUGGCUGAGGGUUUGGGUUUGGCUGUGGGUUCGGCAAUGGUAUCGGGUUUGGGUCUGGUAAUGGUUCUGGGUUUGGAUCAGGCUGUGGUCCUGGUAAUGGCUGAGGGUUUGGGUUUGGUUGUGGGUCCGGCAAUGGUUUUGGGUUUGGGUCUGGCUGCGGUCCUGGUAAUGGCUGAGGGUUUGGGUUUGGUUGUGGGUCCGGCAAUGGUUUUGGGUUUGGGUCUGGUAAUGGUUGUGGGUUUGGAUCAGGCUGCGGUCCUGGUAAUGGCUGAGGGUUUGGGUUUGGUUGUGGGUCCGGCAAUGGUUUUGUGUUUGGGUCUGGUAAUGGUUGUGGAUUUGGAUCAGGCUGCGGUCCUGGUAAUGGACGAGGGUUUGGGUUUGGCCGUGGGUCUGGUAGUAGCUGCGGGUUUGGGUUUGGCCAUGGGUUCAUCAACCGUUGCAGGUUUUGGCCUGGCAAUGGUUGUGGAUUUGGGUCAGGGUGUGGUCCUGGUAAUGGUUGAGCAUUUGGAUCAGGUUGUGGCUCAGGCAGUGGUUGUGGGUUUGGAUUAG